GUGAGGAAUAUUGGACAAUGGGCGCAAGCCUGAUCCAGCCAUGCCGCGUGCAGGAAGACGCAUCUAUGGUGUGUAAACUGCUUUUGUACGGGAAGAAACACUCCCUCGUGAGGGAGCUUGACGGUACCGUAAGAAUAAGGAUCGGCUAACUCCGUGCCAGCAGCCGCGGUAAUACGGAGGAUCCAAGCGUUAUCCGGAAUCAUUGGGUUUAAAGGGUCCGUAGGCGGUUUAAUAAGUCAGUGGUGAAAGCCCAUCGCUCAACGAUGGAACGGCCAUUGAUACUGUUAGACUUGAAUUACAAGGAAGUAACUAGAAUAUGUAGUGUAGCGGUAAAAUGCUUAGAUAUUACAUGGAAUACCAAUUGCGAAGGCAGGUUACUACUUGUGGAUUGACGCUGAUGGACGAAAGCGUGGGGAGCGAACAGGAUUAGAAACCCUGGUAGUCC
rnacentral:rRNA from 1 species